AAUGGGGGAAACCCUGAUGCAGCAACGCCGCGUGAAGGAUGAAGGUUUUCGGAUUGUAAACUUCUUUUGUACGGGACGAAACAAAUGACGGUACCGUAAGAAUAAGCCACGGCUAACUACGUGCCAGCAGCCGCGGUAAUACGUAGGUGGCAAGCGUUAUCCGGAUUUACUGGGUGUAAAGGGCGAGUAGGCGGGACUGCAAGUCAGAUGUGAAAACUAUGGGCUUAACCCAUAGACUGCAUUUGAAACUGUGGUUCUUGAGUGAUGGAGAGGCAGGCGGAAUUCCCGGUGUAGCGGUGGAAUGCGUAGAUAUCGGGAGGAACACCAGUGGCGAAGGCGGCCUGCUGGACAUUAACUGACGCUGAGGCGCGAAAGUGUGGGGAGCAAA
rnacentral:rRNA from 1 species